AGAAAAAAAAAAUGGUUCCGAUUGAAAACGUGAGUUUACCUUAUGAAGAAAAACAGGGGAGGAACAUGGAAGGAUAUUUACCGUGGUGAAACUUAGAUUUGGUGAGGAAAGAAGAUGAACUCCUCCCUACUGCUCCCUCCGCCGUUCUGGUGAUUCAAAGAUUGCUAAGGAAGAGCGUGGCGGCGUGGGAGGAAGGAGAUUGGAAUUUUAUUUGCUAAAAGGAAUAAAAAUAAAAUACUUCCUUCUGAAAUGACGGAAUGAAUGAAUUUUUUUUGGAAAAGGGAUUUUGCAGAAUAAAGAGGGAGAAGAAGAGAUGGAAAGUCUUGGUGAGCAAGACAAGGAAUAGAGUUUUAGUUAAAAUUAAUUUGGGCUUCAAGCACCGGUAUUUUUAUUUAAAUUGUGUAGCCCGUAAUUUAUUCUUUUGUAAGAUUGGACUUAUUCAAUUUAUCGGAUCCAACACGGAAUUGAGUCCAAUAAAUAAUCCUCAAGGAAAGGAUUUAAUUAAAUUCACAUUGUGA